rnacentral:tRNA from 1 species
GUAGUGGUGAUUCAGUGGUAGAAUUCUUGCUUUUCAUGCAGGAGACUGGGGUGUGAUUUCUAGCCAUUGCA